CGUCUUUGAGGUUGUAGACCAGAGAGGGGGAAAGCGACAACCAUGACCGGCUGUCUCGCCGGCAUCGGUGGAGAGGAUAAGGGGAUUCGGCUAGUAGCGAGUCCGGUGAGAUCCGACCAAAAUUAACCCGAAAAUGGGCUGCCGGGUCACCGGAAAAAGGAGAAAAUAGGACGCAGUGAGAGUAGGGGAUUUUUGCCGGCGGUGGUUGUUAGUUCGCCAUAGCAGGUCGUUUCCCAUGGAUUUUCGUGAUAGGGGGUCGGAUCCGGUGUGGUUUUUCCGGUUUCCCGGUGAUUUGGUGAUGGCCGGAAUGGCACGUGUGCCCGGUUAGCCGGAUUUUGGAUUAUUUUGAUGUGUUGGCACUGAUUUGACCGGAGUUCAAAGUGGGUAACAUUUCCCAGCGAGGAAGUGCCAUUUCCGGUGAAAAUAUCGCCGGAACAAUGGGAUUUGCGAUUUGCCUUUCUCCCUUUUUCUGUCUAUUUUUUUUGCCAGCCUCGCGAUGAGUGUGCGCGUGUGUGAUGUUCUUUGCGUCUAUGUAUUUUUUUAAAUCGGGCAUGCUCAGCCUGUGUAUGUAAAUUGAUGGAGAAGAUGAAGGGGUUGAUAUAGUGUUGUUGUGCAAAAUAGUGUAUGUUGCAGUAUGUGUGUGCAGUGUAUGUUUCCGGUGAAUAUAAAUAUGCAGAUAACAGUGUGAAAUUGUAACAUGCCCAUUUUUUUCUCUCUAUUCCGAUUUUAACUUAGGAGUAUAUGCAUAAACACUUAGUAAUUUAAUAUACAACACAUAAUAAUAUUUACAUUCACCUAAUACACCAAUAACACAUUAUGAAUAAUAUAUGAAAAUUACUUAAGCAAUUUUAUUCAUAUUUUUUAUUUGUAAUAGUGUUUAUGCAAUAAAUUACGUAGAAUCAAAAUGAAACAUGUGUUAAGUUGAACAAGUUGAACAGAAAUACGAAGUUGUCACCGAAAUUUUCAAGUAAAAUAUUGAAAUUUUGAAUUUUCACUCUUUCUUUGAUUUUUGCUUGCUGAUUUUUCACUCUCUUUGUUAGAUAUACUCAGUGUAGAAUAUUAUGUUCUCACAGGUGACAAAAGAGUUUUAAAAUGAGGUGUAGGUGACAUAAGUUUUAAUUAUUAGUUGGAGGUGACAAUUACUUUAUUAUCUAUUAAGAAAGUUGGGAAAGUUUUAAAAUAAUCCACAAGUUUUUAAAUUUAUACUUUGAUCCUAAUGUAUACCUAAAAUAACGGGAAACAGAGGGAAAAAAAAGGCAUCUUUCUCUUCUCAUCCAUUGUUGUUUUCU
rnacentral:lncRNA from 1 species